UAGGGAAUCUUCCACAAUGGACGCAAGUCUGAUGGAGCAACGCCGCGUGAGUGAAGAAGGUUUUCGGACCGUAAAGCUCUGUUGUUGGUGAAGAAGGAUAGAGGUAGUAACUGGCCUUUAUUUGACGGUAAUCAACCAGAAAGUCACGGCUAACUACGUGCCAGCAGCCGCGGUAAUACGUAGGUGGCAAGCGUUGUCCGGAUUUAUUGGGCGUAAAGCGAGCGCAGGCGGAAGAAUAAGUCUGAUGUGAAAGCCCUCGGCUUAACCGAGGAAUUGCAUCGGAAACUGUUUUCUUGAGUGCAGAAGAGGAGAGUAGAAAC
rnacentral:rRNA from 1 species